UGAGCAAGAGUGAGACCCUGUCUCUACUAAAAAUAAAGAGAAAUUAGCUGGACAAUUAAAAAUAUAUAGAAAGGUCUGUAAUCUUGGUGGGCAAUACAGAGUUAUGUGUGUUCACUCUAAGGGCAGACCAACAAGAACUUUUUCCUACUUUUUAGCCACCUCUUUUUAAUAGGAGUGAUUCUUCCAGUUGCCAGGGAGAAAUUGUGGUAACUGGAGUGAGAAAGUGGGAACAGGGCAUGUUAAAAGAAAAAAAAGAUUUUAUAUAUGUGUGUGUGUGUGUGUGUGUGUGUGUGUGUGUGUGUGUGUGUGUGUAUAAAAUUUAG
rnacentral:snoRNA from 1 species